rnacentral:rRNA from 1 species
GGAGGGUGCAAGCGUUGUUCGGAAUUACUGGGCGUAAAGCGCACGUAGGUGGGUCUUUAAGCCAAUUGUGAAAGCCCAGAGCUUAACUCUGGAAUUGCAGUUGGAACUGGAGAUCUUGAAUGCUCAAGAGGAUGGCGGAAUUCCUGGUGUAGAAGUGAAAUUCGUAGAUAUCAGGAGGAACACCCGAGGCGAAGGCGGCUAUCUGGUGGUGCAUUGACACUGAGGUGCGAAAGCGUGGGGGGAGCAAACAGGAUUAGAUACCCUGGUAGUCCACGCCCGUAAACGAUGGAUACUAGGCGUUUGGAGUGUUAACCCUCUGAGUGCCGCAGCUCACGCAUUAAGUAUCCCCGCCUGGGGAGUACGGUCGCAAGGCUA